rnacentral:rRNA from 1 species
UACGGAAGGUGCAAACGUUGUCCGGAAUCAUUGGGCGUAAAGCGCGUGUAGGCGGCCCGGUAAGUCCGCUCUGAAAGUCGGGGGCUCAACCCUCGGAUGCGGGUGGAUACUGUCGGGCUUGAGUGCGGAAGAGGCGAGUGGAAUUCCUGGUGUAGCGGUGAAAUGCGCAGAUAUCAGGAGGAACACCAAUUGCGAAGGCAGCUCGCUGGGACGUUACUGACGCUGAGACGCGAAAGCGUGGGGAGCAAACAGG